rnacentral:rRNA from 1 species
UGCCAGACUCCUACGGGAGGCAGCAGUGGGGAAUAUUGGGCAAUGGGCGCAAGCCUGACCCAGCAACGCCGCGUGAAGGAAGAAGGCUUUCGGGUUGUAAACUUCUUUUAUGAGGGACGAAAGAAAUGACGGUACCUCAUGAAUAAGCCACGGCUAACUACGUGCCAGCAGCCGCGGUAAUACGUAGGUGGCAAGCGUUGUCCGGAUUUACUGGGUGUAAAGGGCGUGUAGCCGGGCUGACAAGUCAGAUGUGAAAUCCGGGGGCUCAACCCCCGAACUGCAUUUGAAACUGUUGGUCUUGAGUAUCGGAGAGGCAGGCGGAAUUCCUAGUGUAGCGGUGAAAUGCGUAGAUAUACGGAGGAACACCAGUGGCGAAGGCGGAUUGCUGGACAGUAACUGACGCUGAGGCGCGAAAGCGUGGGGAGCAAACAGGAUUAGAUACCCGUGUAGC